GUUGCUCUAACGGGGUGUUGUCCGGAAACGGACGGCUGAGAGGCGCAUGCCAACCCGAAGAACCUGAUCCGGCUCAUACCGGCGGAGGGAUUAGACGCGUCAGAAAA
rnacentral:ncRNA from 1 species